rnacentral:rRNA from 1 species
GGGCCCGCACAAGCGGUGGAGUAUGUGGUUUAAUUCGAUGCAACGCGAAGAACCUUACCAGGGUUUGACAUCCUGCGAAUCUCUUGGAAACGAGAGAGUGCCUUCGGGAGCGCAGUGACAGGUGGUGCAUGGCUGUCGUCAGCUCGUGUCGUGAGAUGUUGGGUUAAGUCCCGCAACGAGCGCAACCCACGUCUUUAGUUGCCACCAUUUAGUUGGGCACUUUAAAAGAACUGCCAGUGAUAAGCUGGAGGAAGGUGGGGAUGACGUCAAGUCCUCAUGGCCCUUAUGUGUUGGGCUACACACGUACUACAAUGCUACGGACAAAGGGCAGCAAGUUCGCGAGGACAAGCAAAUCCCAUAAACCGUGGCUCAGUUCAGAUCGUAGGCUGCAACUCGCCUACGUGAAGGCGGAAUCGCUAGUAAUCG